rnacentral:lncRNA from 1 species
GCCGAAAGAGUCCUGGGAGUGUUGGCCUCUUACGAACUUUGGCUGGGGUUAUUUUAUACCCAACACCUAGUAAGAGGAGAUCGCAUCCUGUGUAUUCUCAAUCCUAGAUGACUUGAAAAAAAUUUUUUGGCCAAAAGCAGGAAGGAGAUUAGAAAAACUUAUCAUACUUCUUUAUUGGAGUCAUCAUUAGUUAAUUAAGAAUUGAUAUGAAUAUGUAUUUGAGUUUGACAUAGUUUCAUACUCAUGAACAUAUUCGGGGUGCAGGGAUGAUCG